rnacentral:rRNA from 1 species
CAAUAGCGUAUAUUAAAGUUGUUGCAGUUAAAAAGCUCGUAGUUGAAUUUCUGGUGGGCGCGCCGGUCUUCCAAGUGUUGUACUGGGCUCAGUCCGCCAUCCUUGUGGAGAGGGCUCGCAUUGAGUUGCGUGUCGGAUCUGCAUCAUUUACUGUGAAAAAAUUAGAGUGUUUAAAGCAGGCUGUCGCUUGAAUACAUUAGCAUGGAAUAAUAAGAUAGGACUUCGGUCUAUUUUGUUGGUUGCGAACCGAGGUAAUGAUUAAUAGGGAUAGUUGGGGGUAUUCAUAUUUAAUUGUCAGAGGUGAAAUUCUUGGAUUUAUGAAAGAUGAACAACUGCGAAAGCAUUUACCAAGGAUGUUUUCAUUAA